rnacentral:rRNA from 1 species
AUACGAAGGGGGCUAGCGUUGUUCGGAAUUACUGGGCGUAAAGCGCGCGUAGGCGGACUGAUCAGUUGGGGGUGAAAUCCCAGGGCUUAACCCUGGAACUGCCUCCAAUACUGUCAGUCUUGAGUUCGGGAGAGGUGAGUGGAAUUCCUAGUGUAGAGGUGAAAUUCGUAGAUAUUAGGAAGAACACCAGUGGCGAAGGCGGCUCACUGGCUCGGUACUGACGCUGAGGUGCGAAAGCGUGGGGAGCAAACAGGAUUAGAAACCCUAGUAGUCC